CAAAAGAGGAAUGGAUAAAGAAGAUGUGGUACAUGAUUCCGUGGGUGGUGGUGCAUGGCCGUUCUUAGUUGAUGGAGUGAUUUGUCUGGUUAAUUCCAAUAAUGAACGAGUCUCUGGCAUGCUAACUAGUUACACAACCCCUGAGCUAAUGAGAAAUUAGAAAGAGAAAUUGAGAAAACAAUUCCAUUCACCAUUGCAACAAAAAGAAUAAAAUACUUAG
rnacentral:ncRNA from 1 species